rnacentral:rRNA from 1 species
GAUGAACGCUGGCGGCGUGCCUAAUACAUGCAAGUCGAGCGAACGGACGAGAAGCUUGCUUCUCUGAUGUUAGCGGCGGACGGGUGAGUAACACGUGGAUAACCUACCUAUAAGACUGGGAUAACUUCGGGAAACCGGAGCUAAUACCGGAUAAUAUUUUGAACCGCAUGGUUCAAAAGUGAAAGACGGUCUUGCUGUCACUUAUAGAUGGAUCCGCGCUGCAUUAGCUAGUUGGUAAGGUAACGGCUUACCAAGGCAACGAUGCAUAGCCGACCUGAGAGGGUGAUCAGCCACACUGGAACUGAGACACGGUCCAGACUCCUACGGGAGGCAGCAGUAGGGAAUCUUCCGCAAAGGGCGAAAGCCUGACGGAGCAACGCCGCGUGAGUGAUGAAGGUCUUCGGAUCGUAAAGCUCUGUUAUUAGGGAAGAACAGAUGUGUAAGUAACUGUGCACAUCUUGACGGUACCUAAUCAGAAAGCCACGGCUAACUACGUG